AGACGCGCGUCCCCGGCCGCGGCGCCGGAGCCGGCUGGGGGACCGCCUGGUCCCGGGCCAGAGCUGGGAGGCGGUGUUCCGUGAGCCGCCUGGUCUGGGGUGCGGGGGGCGGGAAGCGGCCCCUUCGUGUGCGCUUGGGCGAGGCCGGGCGGCGCUUCUAUCCUCCUACUCGGACCCUCAGGUUUCUGGUCCUCAUACCGUGUGGUUGAGUGAAAUCAAAACUUCCACGAUAGCAAUGCUGAUUGGACAAAGAAUGUGUUGUGGACACAAAACCAAACUCUGGAGGACAGAGGAUUCAUUCCAAGGGUCUGCUUGUAUUCAAUGACUGGUCUACGUGGGGGUGUGAAGUCCCCUUACUCCACCUGUGAAGAGUCAUCCCAGUUUCAGACCCCCCUCCCCAGCCUCCUGUUAUUGGCUAAGGCCAUUUUGUGACUACACUGCAGGUAGAGAUGGAUUCCCGGAAAUACCUCCUCAAGGCCAGUGUAGAGCCCUCAAUCACCCACUGCCCCCAGCUUCUCCUUCUCCCAUCUCCUGCACCAAGCAGGUCUCCAGGUGUUCCAGCUGCUGAUGACGUAAAGUGUGGAGUUGGUCCAGGAAGGUCAUGUUCCAUGCAGCAGAGGAGCGCUUUGUGUGAGAAGUUGAAGACCUGCUGUAACACAUCAUAGAGGAAAGACAUAGCCUGGGCCUUCUGCAACUGGCUGACUUCCACCUUCUCCUGGGGGAAUCUGAAGUCACUUCUGUCCUUU
rnacentral:sRNA from 1 species